rnacentral:lncRNA from 1 species
CCGAGGAGAGCGAUCUCUAAUAAUAACAAUUAUUACUCCCCCACCCCACCUCUUUCAUUCACGUUUCGGACUCGCAGUAUAGAGGUUAAGGAUAGAAGAAAGAAGCUAAGAGUGGAAAAAGAAAAGCUAGCUUUCACGCGGAAUAUAUGCUCUUAGCGAAAAGUCCUGAUAACCAUAAUCUGAGACUAAAGGCCCUUUUCCUUUAAACGAUGAUAUAGCUGGUGUUGCGUCCGAGUCCUCAUUACGUUGUUCGUUCGGGGACAAGGGAAGAGUUGAGCACUGUGAUUUUCAAUUAUGUCGGAAAGUGGUUCUUCGGAUGAUGAUUUUCCACCAUCUAAUCGUCCACGAACCUCCGAAGAGGAUGGAUGGUGAAAGCACUUGUCCUCAGAAGGAUUAUGCCUGUACUGGACUCUACCAAAUGUGUGUGUAACUCAGCUUACCUAGUGUUAAAUGGGAGAUCAUCUUCUUCUAAUAAUCAAAAUUGUGAACUGAAAAAAUUUUUGGUGUUUUGCUUGAGAUAUCGAAGCAGAAGAUGCCUUUCAUUUUAUGGAUUUUUAUGGGACUAUAUAAAAACCAGAUGUUUUCUUUAAAAAGACGAUAUUGAUUUAUGAACAACUGAACAGUAGCCAUUAAAGUAUUUCAUAAAGAAAAAUUUAUGAAAAUCAAUUUGAGCUUAUUUGGUAUGAAGUUUUAUCAUUAAAGUAUCAGUUGUUAUCUCUACUUUUGUGUUAUUAUUGCUAUCAAAUGACACAGAAGUACUUUAACUGCAUGCAUACAUAGUACAUGCAUUAAAAUGGUAUUUCAUUGUUUCAUUGUAUGAAAAUGUUGCACAAAGGUUUAAUGACGAAAAAAAAUUUAAAUGAUAAAAAAUGAAGUUUCAUUUAUUUUUCAUUGAAAUAAAAUAUAUUUGCUAUCUGA